GAAUUGCUUUCUUCAAAAAAGCUUUCUUUAUUAAGAGUCCUUUAAGAAGCUAAGCUCCUUCAGAUAGUAAGAUUCGCUUAACUUCAUACCUCUAAGCGCUCGUGACUAUCCGAUGAUAGUCACUUCGCUUUCCUUUUAGACUGAAAAAGGAAAACAGAAAGAUUGAGCAUAAAAAAAAUAUAGAGAAUGAGCUAUUACGUGCAAACAAUGGAAAUUCAAUAAUAAGAGUCUGAUCUUCUCGCUUAAGAAUAUGCGAUUCCUCCGGAGUGAAGUUGUUGGGGGGAAGAGAAGAUGAGGAAGCUAGUUUAAUUGAGGAAGCCACUUUCUUUAAUGUAUACUAGCUGGUCUACAAAAGCAUGACGCAUGACGCUUCUCCUUUUUUUAGUCCACUCUCCCUUAGAAAACGGAGCUGCUUGAAAGCAGAUUUCGAAAUUACAUAGGUGAAUGUAGAGAUCACCGGUGUCCUACUCGAGACGAAGUACUUGUCGUCCCCAAACCAAAAGGGAUGAGGGAAAAAGGCUCGAGAAAGCGUCCUUGGAAGGGGGAAUAUCUGAAAAAGUGUUAGCGGGGAGCCCAUCCCUCUCGUUCUUACAGAAGACAUAAGGGGGAAUACACGACGGACGGAAAGCGGGGAAACAUCCCUUUUCUGUCUUCUCUCCACAGAGGAAGGAAAGCACCGCCAAGCCAACAAGAAAGCAGAAACUGCAUGAGGUAAGACUAAGGGCCUUGUGCGCCCUGCAAGAGAUUACCGGGGGUCUCGGUACCAGGGGGGCGCGGGAACAAGAAACUCCAGUAAAUAAAAG
rnacentral:lncRNA from 1 species